GUUUUUAGUCAAUAGCAUAGAGAAAAUUCUCAUCGGGCCCUCAUCCAACAAGCCCAUAAAUUGCUGAUAUUACGUGGCCUUGCUUUGCUAUUGGAGGUAUAUGUGCUGAAAUCUCACGUUGUGCGUGCAUACAAGUGUGGAUAGAGGAAAUCUCACUUCCGGGGUUUAUGGAGACAUCAGGGCUUGGCUAUUGACUCAGGAUCCCCACUGGUAAUACAGGAAGGAGCGCUGUGUCCUUUAAUGCCAUAGAAUUUAUGACCAGGACUUUGAACUUUGGAAUAACAACAACAACAGAAAGAAUUAAAAUGGAGGUAGGUGAUCUACAAAAAUUUCUUUCAUGUUGUACCCUGCAUUACAACCUACUGCACCCUGAGGACUUCAGGAGUCCAUUUAUUUGCAUGUGGAUACUCACACUAAGCCCAGGAUCAGUAAAAAAUCAGUUAUCCAUGACUGGUGAUGACAUAUCCAUCAGUUUUAUAAAGGAGACAGCAGCAGUGUAAAGGAAAUGUCCACAGGCAUAACGGCAGAGAACCAUGAGAAGUUAUGAUUCCAGAGCCCCAGUAAGACUAGAUGCAAAAGGACAUCCAAGCAGUGGAUGGGCUCUAAGGAUGUCUCAUGGACUUUGAACAGGUUUGGAGAAAGUAGCGAUGACUGCCUAAAAGAUGUAUGAAUCUGAAGUUUCUCUUUGGCAAUCAAUGAAAUGCUGCUAAUGGGGAGAUUUUUCACAAUUUAUGGUAAAUUCUUCAUUCCAUACAGAAAAACAGAGCAAAGCUUGCAGAAAAUGUUAUGCUUGCAUUUGUUCUUGUCCACGUACACAGCACUAAGACCAUGCUGGCACCUUUCCCUAAGCAAUAAAAAGAUGUAUACAAUCUUUUCCCCAAAAGGACUUACUGUUUGAUUUUAUGCAUAUCAGGGACCAAUGGUAGGGAGAUAAUACCAGGGAAGAAGAUGCAUGGCAAAGGCACAGACUGGAUUUGGGUCACACCUGCUACACACAGCAGCCUGCACAUCUGGCUGGUUUCAUCUCAUUUAUUCAAAUCAGACUCCAGGUGACUCAGCCCUAUGCAAAAGCCCUCCACUCUCUGCUCACCAUCCCAGCUGUAAAGCCAGGAUUAUAUUUAUCUCCAUCACAAAACACUCAGUUUCAGAAGACAUCGAUGUGGUUUGCUGAGGCCCCAGCUGGAAAAUACCACAAGAAGUUCAAAGCCCGGUUUCAUCCUGUAAUCGGAUCCUCAAGUUCACAAGUGCAAGAACCAACUGUGCAGGCUGAAAGCGGAACGCCCAGCUCCCAGCAAGAAACCGCACGCAGCACUGGGCUGAGCAUGGCAUGCUGAGGAGUUAGAAUCAGAGAAUCAUAGAAUGAAUUGGAUUGGAAGGGACCUUAAAGACCACAACAUCAUAGAAUGAAUUGUGUUGGAAGGGACGUUAAAGACCACAGAAUCAUAGGAUGAACUGGAUUGGAAGGGAUCUUAAAGACCACUGAAUCAUAGGAUGAAUUGGAUUGGAAGGGAUCUUAAAGACCACUGAAUCAUAGGACGAAUUGGAUUGGAAGGGACCUUAAAGACCGUAGAAUCAUAGAAUGGUGUAGGUUGGAAGGGACCUUAAUGAUCACCCAGUUGCAAUGCAUGGCUGUGGACAGGGUUGUUGAUGCACUGAUGCGUUCCGCCCCCGCCUACAAAAUCUCAAUUGAUUUUUCAAAACAUUUGGCCACUUGGUCUGACGUGCAGCUGCUGGUGGGAUUAUUAUUAUGAUAAUUAUUAUUGUUGAUAUUAUUGUUAUUAUUUAGCCUCAAGAUAGCUUGCUAGCCUUUGCAUGCACUUAGGAUAGUCUGGCACUCCUGCUAGAAAUAUGGGCAUUAAUCCCUGUGCCAGUUAAAUGCCAGCUUAGUACUGGUUUUCUCCCUACCUUGACAAGAUAUUCUUCAGGUCAAUCAGGCGUGAGAUGGUAUAUACUGAGUGCAAUUCUUCUGGGCAUAAAGUGCUACCUCCUGAAAUCUUACGUCAAAACCUCUUGGAGAUCUGUUAUUUAUUUCUGUCACUGUCACAAAGCCUCGUUUCCAUCCUCAGUGUUGAUGGGCCAGAGGAUCACAAUUCUGAAUAAUUUUUAUCUGUCCUUGCUGAAAUCUGGCCUUUCAAAAUAACACAGAGAGAGCCCUUUGUUUUGAACUAAAAUAGCAGUGACAAGGUUUUUCAAGCAUGACCAUUUAAAUGAGAUUUUGCAUCUUUGCAUUACGGUUUCACUGUUGGUCUUUGUAAGCAGUGGCUGUGGUUGAGCAGUUGGGCCAUACAAGGGGG
rnacentral:lncRNA from 1 species